rnacentral:lncRNA from 1 species
CCCCUCUGAAGACAUCGAUGGACUCCGAAGCGGCAACGCUGGCUGACAUCCCCAGCCUGGAGGAUGAGGUGUGGGACCCUCUCCCCAGUACAAGCAGCUCCGUAGGACCCGGCGAAGAUGAAGAUCCUGCCCUGCACCCGAGGAGAUGGUCCUCCCUGGACCCAGAACAGGCAAAACAACACCUGCACCAUCUUUGCCUGCUGGUCUGCAGUUCCUCCUCUGCAGAGGUCACGCAGGCAGUGGAUUACGUGGCCCGAAAACAUCUAAAGAUGGCCACGGACCACUUUCUGGAGUCCGACGGGAGGGCAUGUGGUGAAUUAGUAAGCGCCGUACUCAAUUCACCAUAUUGUUGCCUGGAAGCGGCGCUGGACCUGUUCCUGGCCAAGGUGAAGGAGGGACCUUGGCUGGCCCAGGAGGGCAAGGAACAGGGCAGCCCUACUUUUGAUGCGGCCACGGUAAGGACCUCCCCACCUGCACUCUGUUUUUAGGGGGCUGGGGAAGGAGAACGGGGUCCCCUCUUUCUUGACCUUUCCUUGCAUUUGAGCCUCCUUCUUUCUCUCCGCAGGCAAGAGCGACGCGGGCCAUCGGCGGGAUCGUCAGACACAUCAGGGACAGCACGCGCCUGGAGGGGUGGUUCCUGGAGCUUCUGCUCGCCUUGGUGACCAACUUCAUCGAGGUGACAAGGCCUGGGUUGGAGGCACCCAGCAGGAACCGGAGCAACAGCUACGUUCCUCCAGAGUAAGGAGAGGGUGGGGAGGAAGGGUCUGCGGGACUCCCAGCCCUUUUGGGGGGCUGAAGGGGGACUCAGAUCCUUCACUAGUAAGUAAUCCUUUUUCUUUCUUUCUUUUUCAGAGAACUGGCGAAGAUCAUCAUCGUGCUGGUGAAGAGGGUGGCACCAAAGUCCU